CCCUGGCCCUGGUAUUUAUAGUAUUUAUCGAUAGAGCAACAGCUGAGAUCGCCUUUGAAUUCAAUAACAAGUGUAUUUCAAUGAAUUAGUUAUUUAACUAAGAAACUCAGCUGAAAUGCGCAAUUAUUGACAGCCUUAACUAAGCCCUCGAGUUCGGAACUAUUUGGAAAAGAGUAGGUUCCAGCAUAACAACCUAAAACUGCACGCCGAACCUGCUUCGACUAAGAACACACAAGCCUCUGUUAGUAUUGGUUCAAUAGGGGGCCCCAAGGUGAAGCGCUAAUGCGACAUCAACAUUACCGCGUGGCUGGAGCUGCUAGUGAUUACACUAAACCCUUUUCAGCGGAAUGAAUGGAUUCCUCAAAAAUGCACUGACUGGCCAGUCCGAGAAGAUAUUGAAACACAAAGCAAGAAGCGAAACGAAGGAAACAAAUGGCGCACUCACGGAAAACAAAACGAGAAAACGCUGAACGCGAGAAAUCUUGUAGCACCGAUGGAGCACCAAAUGAAGAGGAAGUCAACUGUUCAAGAUAAAAUCGAGGAUUGCUGGAAAGUCGUAAUGGAUUAUCUC